AUUGAACGCUGGCGGCAUGCCUUACACAUGCAAGUCGAACGGUAACGGGCCUUCGGGUGCCGACGAGUGGCGAACGGGUGAGUAAUGCAUCGGAACGUACCUUUCAGUGGGGGAUAACGUAGCGAAAGUUACGCUAAUACCGCAUAUUCUGUGAGCAGGAAAGCAGGGGAUCGCAAGACCUUGCGCUGAUUGAGCGGCCGAUGUCAGAUUAGCUAGUUGGUGAGGUAAAGGCUCACCAAGGCUACGAUCAGUAGGAGUUCUGAGAGGUAUUAACCCCCACACUGGUACUGAGACACGGACCAGACCUCCUACGGGAGGCAGCAGUGAGGAAUAUUGGUCAAUGGGCGGAAGCCUGAACCAGCCAUCCCGCGUGAAGGAAGACAGCCUUACGGGUUUAAACUUCUUUUCUGUCAGAAGAAUAAGCUUGUCGAGACGAGUGAUGCCGGUAUGACAGGAAUAAGCAUCGGACUAACGUCCGUGCCUAGCAGCCG
rnacentral:rRNA from 1 species